rnacentral:rRNA from 1 species
UCAGUAACAAGUAGUCAACCUAACCUGUGGACGUGGAUAAUCUCGGGAAACUGAGGAUAAACCACGAUAGAUAACGGUGCCUGGAAUGGCCCAUUGUCCAAACAGUUUACUGCCCAGGGAUGGGACUGCGGCCUAUCAGCUUGUUGGUGAGGUAAUGGCCCACCAAGGCUAUAACAGGUACGGGCUCUGAGAGGAGAAGCCCGGAGACGGGUACUGAGACACGGACCCAGGCCCUAUGGGGCGCAGCAGGCGAGAAACCUUAGCAAUGUGCGAAAGCACGACUGGGUCAGUCCGAGUGAUUUCUGAUAAAGGAAUCUUUUGCUAGUCCUAAAAGCACUAGCGAAUAAGGGGUGGGCAAGUCUGGUGCCA